rnacentral:piRNA from 1 species
UCUCAUACUUGACGUUCCAGGAAGUGGUC